GGGAAGACAGCAGAGCCUGGGAAGAUGCGGAGUGUCUGCAUGGGCAGGGCCCUGGCCACAGAGACUGGGACUUGGGACCUGGUUACCAACUCCAGAGGCCUGAGUCACAGGGGACGUGACACUUAGCCCAUUGCUGCUGGGAGUUCAGCCAUCUCCCUUUCAGGGUCGCUUGGCGCAGAUUCCAUGUUGCACACUGUGUCUAUGUUAGGCGUGCUUUCCCCAGAAGACACAUGUAAAUGCACAGACUUGAAUGGUUAACAAUGCCCUCUGGAGUUGUGCAAAGGGACAUCCGUACUACCACCAACACAGGAAUAUAAACUUCAAAAGUAGAAGAGAGUGACUGCUCGCUUCCUGGGGUUGCCGACUGUACUCCAACUGAAAGAAUUAGGUUAUCUUGGAAGCCCCGCUGCUAGACCUGAGCAAAGGAAGAAGGGAAAUAUUCGGAUACAUCCAACACUUUUGGCAGCACUUGUCAGAAAUGGGAUAGAAAGGUAGCAAGCAGUUCUUCUGAAGGCCUACCCCAAAGUCCACCAGAUCAUGAAAAUCCAAAUG
ensembl:lncRNA